rnacentral:rRNA from 1 species
UCGAACGAACUCUGGUAUUGAUUGGUGCUUGCAUCAUGAUUUACAUUUGAGUGAGUGGCGAACUGGUGAGUAACACGUGGGAAACCUGCCCAGAAGCGGGGGAUAACACCUGGAAACAGAUGCUAAUACCGCAUAACAACUUGGACCGCAUGGUCCGAGUUUGAAAGAUGGCUUCGGCUAUCACUUUUGGAUGGUCCCGCGGCGUAUUAGCUAGAUGGUGGGGUAACGGCUCACCAUGGCAAUGAUACGUAGCCGACCUGAGAGGGUAAUCGGCCACAUUGGGACUGAGACACGGCCCAAACUCCUACGGGAGGCAGCAGUAGGGAAUCUUCCACAAUGGACGAAAGUCUGAUGGAGCAACGCCGCGUGAGUGAAGAAGGGUUUCGGCUCGUAAAACUCUGUUGUUAAAGAAGAACAUAUCUGAGAGUAACUGUUCAGGUAUUGACGGUAUUUAACCAGAAAGCCACGGCUAACUACGUGCCAGCAGCCGCGGUAAUACGUAGGUGGCAAGCGUUGUCCGGAUUUAUUGGGCGUAAAGCGAGCGCAGGCGGUUUUUUAAGUCUGAUGUGAAAGCCUUCGGCUCAACCGAAGAAGUGCAUCGGAAACUGGAAAACUUGAGUGCAGAAGAGGACAGUGGAACUCCAUGUGUAGCGGUGAAAUGCGUAGAUAUAUGGAAGAACACCAGUGGCGAAGGCGGCUGUCUGGUCUGUAACUGACGCUGAGGCUCGAAAGUAUGGGUAGCAAACAGGAUUAGAUACCCUGGUAGUCCAUACCGUACACGAUGAAUGCUAAGUGUUGGAGGGUUUCCGCCCUUCAGUGCUGCAGCUAACGCAUUAAGCAUUCCGCCUGGCGAGUACGGCCGCAAGGCUGACACUCAAAGGAAUUGACGGGGGCCCGCACAAGCGGUGGAGCAUGUGGUUUAAUUCGAAGCUACGCGAAGAACCUUACCAGGUCUUGACAUACUAUGCAAAUCUAAGAGAUUAGACGUUCCCUUCGGGACAUGGAUACAGGUGUGCAUGGUGUCGUCAGCUCGUGUCGUGAGAAGUGGGUAAGUCCCGCAAGAGCCCACCCUUAUUAUCAGUGCCAGCCUUAAGUGGGCACUCUGUGGGACUGCCGCUACAAACCGGAGAA